GCGCUCGUAGCUCAACUGGAUAGAGCUACCGUCUUCGGAACGGAGGGUUGCAGGUUCGACUCCUGCCGAGCGCA
rnacentral:tRNA from 1 species